rnacentral:misc_RNA from 1 species
UUUUGGAAAACGGAAUCGAUCGGAGAAACGCCGUGUACGGCGGGGAUUUGAUGGUGUGUUUUGUUAAACGCAGCGUUUCAUGGAGUUGAAGAUUUGGUGUUGGAGUAGUGGUAGUAGUAGUAGUGGUGGUAUCAGUAGAAGUAAUACUUGUACUUUUCUCAGUGUUCAUUCUAAAUCCAGCUCUUCAACUAAGCUCAGAUUUGCUAUAUUGUUUUCCCAGGUCCUAUUUAUACUAUUGUGUUUAGAGACCAGUUUAGCAACUUUCUCGGAUCAUCAAUUAUUGAGACAAGACUUUGAGAAUGAAGACAAGAGUACCAUUUCACAUUCUUGUAUCCAUGAUCAGAUAAUUGAACAAAGGAAAAGACCUGGUUUGCAAGUGUAUUCCGUCACUCCUCAGGUGUAUGAGGAGUCUGUGGCUUCAGAUCCCCCUCACCGUAGAGGAAGGGCAUUACUUGAAAUUUCCAAAGAACAAAAUGAUGUCAUGCAACCGAUCCGAAUCUUUUUGAAUUAUGAUGCUGUCGGUCAUUCAUCUGAGAGAGAUUGUCAAAAAGUCGGCGACAUUGUGAAGCUUGGGGAGCCACCAGGUGCUUCUUUUUCUGGUACGUCUUCUUGUAAUCCACAUGGAGAUCCUCCAGUUUAUGGUGAUUGCUGGUAUAACUGUACCUUAGAUGAUAUAGCUGGGGAGGACAAAAGGCAUCGCCUUCGCAAGGCCCUCGAGCAGACAGCGGAUUGGUUUAAAAGAGCGUUAUCUGUUGAGCCAGUUAAGGGAAACCUGAGGUUAAGUGGAUAUUCUGCUUGUG